GGCUACAUGGGACAAGAGCAACUGCUACAGAGCCUUCCUUCGUUCCUGCCACUGCCAGCCAGCCAGAUAAGUUAAUGGAAAAAGUUCAAGAAACUUGCUCAAAAGUUUGAAAAUGCAGCAGAAAUUCCUGAACUACAUAGAUUAAAAGAUUUGAUGUAAAUUCAGGCAAGGUGAAAAGUAAAAGAAUAUGUAAGUGCGCAGUCAGCAGCAGCUGGUAUGGGGAUGGUCAGAUCCCAGAAUAUAAUAGAAUAAAAAACACAAGUACCAGCGCUGGCUGUAAGAAUUAUAUAAGGACGGUUUGCUGAAUAAAAUGUCAAUUUAUUAAAUCAUUUAAAAAGA